rnacentral:rRNA from 1 species
GACGAACGCUGGCGGCGUUCUUAACACAUGCACGUCGAACGGAAAGGCCCUGCUUUUGUUGGGUGCUCGAGUGGCGAACGGGUGAGUAACACGUGAGUAACCUGCCCUUGACUUUGGGAUAACUUCAGGAAACUGGGGCUAAUACCGGCUAGGAGCUCCUGCUGCAUGGUGGGGGUUGGAAAGUUUCGGCGGUUGGGGAUGGACUCGCGGCUUAUCAGCUUGUUGGUGGGGCAGUGGCUUACCAAGGCUUUGACGGGUAGCCGGCCUGAGAGGGUGACCGGUCACAAUGGGACUGAGAUACGGCCCAGACUCCUACGGGAGGCAGCAGUGGGGAAUAGUGCACAAUGGGCGGAAGCCUGAUGCAGCAACGCCGCGUGCGGGAUGACGGCCUUCGGGUUGUAAACCGCUUUCGCAUGGGACGAAGCGUGAGUGACGGUAAUGGGUAAAGAAGCACCGGCGAACUACGUG